rnacentral:rRNA from 1 species
CCCUUAGAUGCUCUGGGCCGCACGCGCGCUACACUGAUGCAUUCAACGAGCCUAUCCUUGACUGACAGGUCCGGGUAAUCUUUGAAUCUGCAUCGUGACGGGGAUAGAUUAUUGCAAUUAUUAAUCUUCAACGAGGAAUGCCUAGUAGGCGCAAGUCAUCAGCUUGCGUCGAUUACGUCCCUGCCCUUUGUACACACCGCCCGUCGCUCCUACCGAUUGGGUGUGCUGGUGAAAUGUUCGGAUCGGCCGUUUGUCGCGGUUUCCGCGUCAUGUGGCUGAGAAGUUCAUUAAACCCUCCCACCUAGAGGAAGGAGAAGUCGUAACA